UACGGGGGGAGCAAGCGUUGUUCGGAUUUACUGGGCGUAAAGGGCGCGUAGGCGGUCAGCACAAGUCAGUUGUGAAAUCUCCGGGCUUAACCCGGAAAGGUCAGCCGAUACUGCAGGGCUAGAGUGCAGAAGGGGCAACUGGAAUUCUUGGUGUAGCGGUGAAAUGCGUAGAUAUCAAGAGGAACACCUGCGGCGAAGGCGGGUUGCUGGGCCGACACUGACGCUGAUGCGCGAAAGCCAGGGGAGCGAACGGG
rnacentral:rRNA from 1 species